rnacentral:rRNA from 1 species
AUUGAACGCUGGCGGCAGGCCUAACACAUGCACGUCGAACGAGUGGCGGACGGGUGAGUAAUGUCUGGGAAACUGCCUGAUGGAGGGGGAUAACUACUGGACACGGUAGCUAAUACCGCAUAACAUCAGAUGUGCCCCGAUGGGAUUCGCUAGUUGGUGGGGGAACGGCUCACCAAGGCGACGAUCCCUAGCUGGUCUGAGAGGAAGACCAGCCACACUGGAACUGAGACACGGUCCAGACGCCUACGGGAGGCAGCAGUGGGGAAUAUUGCACAAUGGGCGCAAGCCUGAUGCAGCCAUGCCGAGUGGAUGAAGAAGGCCUUCGGGUUGUAAAGUACGUUCAGCGGGGAGGCGUUACCCGCAGAAGAAGCACCGGCUAACUCCGUGCCAGCAGCCGCGGUAAUAC